UAUUUUUGAUCUAUUAUUAAAGACCCCAAAAACAAGCAUAUUUCAAAUGACGUUCUGCACAGUCAGUGAUGUAUGUGCUCUGGAUGCCACUAAUCUUCACAAAAUGUGAUAAUAAUGUUAUCUGUUAACAUAAAAGCGAAGUUUAACUCCACAGAAGCAGCUGGAAAUAGAUAACCACAAUAUGCUUAAAUCUCUUAGGAACACACAGUUUGACAUAUACUGCUAAAAGUUCCUCAUAUUUAGGAAUUCUUUUAAGGAAAAUACUUGUGCUGAGUCUCAGCUGGUGUGCAUGAAGGGAUAUUCAUUUCCCAGUGGUAACAGGGAAUUUGAUUUUUUUAACCUUUU
rfam:Tyto alba contig154176, whole genome shotgun sequence.